CCUACGGGAGGCAGCAGUAGGGAAUCUUCCACAAUGGGCGAAAGCCUGAUGGAGCAACGCCGCGUGAGUGAUGAAGGCCUUCGGGUUGUAAAACUCUGUCAUUCGGGACGAACCGGAGUCUGAGGAAAUGCAGACUCUCUGACGGUACCGGAGGAGGAAGCCCCGGCUAACUACGUGCCAGCAGCCGCGGUAAUACGUAGGGGGCAAGCGUUGUCCGGAUUCACUGGGCGUAAAGCGCGCGCAGGCGGUGAUGUAAGUCUGAGGUGAAAACCCGAAGCUCAACUUCGGGACUGCCUUGGAUACUGCGUCACUUGAGGAUAGGAGAGGCAAGGGGAAUUCCACGUGUAGCGGUGAAAUGCGUAGAGAUGUGGAGGAACACCUGUGGCGAAGGCGCCUUGCUGGCCUAUUUCUGACGCUGAGGCGCGAAAGCGUGGGGAGCAAACAGGAUUAGAUACCCUGGUAGUCCACGCUGUAAACGAUGAGUGCUAGGUGUAGGUGGGCUCAUACCCAUCUGUGCCGAAGCUAACGCAUUAAGCACUCCGCCUGGGGAGUACGGUCGCAGACUGAAACUCAAAUGAAUUGACGG
rnacentral:rRNA from 1 species